GCCUACAUCGUCUCCUACGGCGUCUUCGUCGCCGUGUGGGUGGUCGCCGUCGCCGCCUUCGAGAUGAAGCGCUGCUACGCCGACGACGACUGAUCCCGUCGCGCGCUCGCUCCACCCCGGCAGCAGCGGUACCGGUACAUGACAUUCUGAACAAGUGGCCAUAGGACGAAACUGAUGGACGUACGCAAAAAAGAAAACUAAGCGUUCACGACCAGUGAAGUGAAGUGACACACACAGACACACACACACCUGUUCUUGUUCCUUAGCUCACAACUGGACAGUGCAUUCGGAAGGCGUGCUUGGUCGGC
rnacentral:lncRNA from 1 species